rnacentral:rRNA from 1 species
CAGCCGCCGCGGUAAUACGGAGGGAGCUAGCGUUGUUCGGAAUCACUGGGCGUAAAGCGUACGUAGGCGGCUUUGCAAGUUAGAGGUGAAAGCCCGGGGCUCAACUCCGGAACUGCCUUUAAAACUGCGAUGCUUGAAUCUGGGAGAGGUGAGUGGAAUUCCGAGUGUAGAGGUGAAAUUCGUAGAUAUUCGGAAGAACACCAGUGGCGAAGGCGGCUCACUGGACCAGUAUUGACGCUGAGGUACGAAAGCGUGGGGAGCAAACAGGAUUAGAUACCCUGGUAGUCCACGCCGUAAACUAUGGGUGCUAGCCGUCAGGAAGCUUGCUUUUUGGUGGCGCAGCUAACGCAUUAAGCACCCCGCCUGGGGAGUACGGUCGCAAGAUUAAAACUCAAAGGAAUUGACGG